GUGCUUGCUUCAGAAGCACAUAUUCUAAAAUUGUAGCAAUACAGAGAAGAUUAGCAUGGCCCCUGUGAAAAGAUGAUAUGCAGACUCGUGAAGUGUUCCAUAUUUUU
rnacentral:snRNA from 1 species